ensembl:misc_RNA 7SK 7SK RNA
GGACGUGAGGGCAAUCUGGCUGUGACAUCUGUCACCCCAUCGAUCGCCAGGGUUGAUUUGUCUGUUCUGGCUGGAUAGGCGGGUGUCCCCUUCUCCCCUCACCACUCCAUGUGUGUCCCUCCCUAAGCUGCUUGUUCGGUAGAAGAGGACAAACACCCACGAUAGAGCAGGCCUGUUUUCUCGGUCAAGGGUAUAGGAGUAGCUAAUGCGUCCCUGCUAGAACCUCCAAACAAGCUCUCAAGGUCCAUUUGACUUUAUGUAGUCAUUGCCUUCUUUUUUUCAGAAAAUAGAGUUUUCUGCAUAUUUUUGGGCCUUUAUAAAAGCAGGACACAUCUUU